CGACCGGCGCACGGGUGAGUAACACGUAUCCAACCUGCCGUCUACUCUUGGACAGCCUUCUGAAAGGAAGAUUAAUACAAGAUGGCAUCAUGAGUCCGCAUGUUCACAUGAUUAAAGGUAUUCCGGUAGACGAUGGGGAUGCGUUCCAUUAGGCAGUUGGUGGGGUAACGGCCCACCAAACCUUCGAUGGAUAGGGGUUCUGAGAGGAAGGUCCCCCACAUUGGAACUGAGACACGGUCCAAACUCCUACGGGAGGCAGCAUG
rnacentral:rRNA from 1 species